GACGAACGCUGGCGGCGUGCCUAACACAUCCAAGUCGAGCGAAGCGGCGGAUGGGUGAGUCACCCCUGGGUAACCUGCCCAUAAGUCUGGGAUACCAUUUGGAACCAGAUGCUAAUACCGGAUACUAAAGGACGGAUCUGCGAUGCAUUAGCUAGUUGGUAAGGUAACGGCUUACCAAGGCGAUGAUGCGUAGCCGAGUUGAGAGACUGAUCGGCCACAUUGGGACUGAGACACGGCCCAAACUCCUACGGGAGGCAGCAGUAGGGAAUCUUCCACAAUGGACGAAAGUCUGAUGGAGCGACGCCGCGUGAGUGAAGAAGGUUUUCGGAUCGUAAAGCUCUGUUGUUGGUGAAGCGGUAAUCAACCAGAAAGUCACGGCUAACUACGUGCCAGCAGCCGCGGUAAUAC
rnacentral:rRNA from 1 species